AUUAUCCCCCCUCAAAUUGGAGGGUAGUGAAACAACCCCCAAUUUGUCUAGCAAAAAUCGGUGAGAUGCCCCAGAUAGGGGUUUUGUGAAUAGAUCUGCAAUCUACUGCUUUGAAGGGACGAAGGACAAAGUAAUGAGACCGGAGACGAACUGUUGUCUUACAAAAUGACAAUCCAGUUCAACAUGUUUCGUCCUUUCGUGGAAGACCGGGUUUUUUGCAAUAUGGAUAGCCGCUUGGCUAUCGGAGUGAAGAGUCACCGGCAAGCUAAGAGGAGCGGCAAGAUCUGAUAGAAGCCUUACUAACCAGGAAACGGGUGCUCCACCAAGGGUGAUGAAAAAACCACUGACUGACCGUCGAGAGUCAGUACAAGAUGCCCAAUCAGCAUCGCAGAAAGCAAGUAAUUCGAAAGAUGAAUCAGAGGAGAGGAGGAUCCCUUGACCUGGAUCAUUUUUCAGAUCUGGAGCCUUACAAGCUCCAUUGAUGAAUCCAAGUUUUCUCUUGGCUGAUAAGGCUAGGAGAAUAGAUCUCCUCCAACCUGGAUAUCCUUUGCCAUCAAACACAUUGUUAAUUAAGGUCAUUCCGGGUGAAUCAGAGUUAUUCAGAUGGUAAGGAUGACUGUUAUCGUAAGUGAUGGUUUUGUCUACAUUGCUUGGCUGUACAUUUGGUGUUGCAUCAGCCAUUUUGGUUUAUUGAGAGAUUGAAGGUGAUUUUG